rnacentral:lncRNA from 1 species
CAACACCAAUAGAAUGUGCUUAAUCUCUAUUUAAUUAAUAUAUAAGUUGAGACAAUAUACAAAAAAAAAUGCAAUGUACAUACUUUAAUAGUACACGAUACAAUAGAAAUUGAGAUAAAUAUAUCAUGAAUAUACAAUAGAAAUUGUGUCUAUCCUAGUUGCACUCAGGCUUUAGCUAAUCUUCCACAAACUCUAGAGUUUCCUUGUAGUUGGAGAACUGGUACAAUAUCAAGCUCGUGUUGAGCUUUUCUGCUUGUAUAUGGCACAUUAUGUGCACUAAUUACUUGGUAUUGGAUAUAAAGUCCUGACCUAUUUAAUCUCAUGCUUCAUGUGUUACCUAAAAUUNNNNNNNNNNNNNNNNNNNNNNNNNNNNNNNNNNNNNNNNNNNNNNNNNNNNNNUUGCUCACCUAAAAUCACUCUUUAAGGUCGCAGUCCCGUUGUCGAGAUGAACUAAAUAAUAAAUUUCAAGCUUGAUAUUGAAAGCUACUCCCAUAUUUCCCUUCAGCGUGUAUACACUUUAACCAAUAGAUCUUGAAAGACAUCAACAACUGUUGAACCUCGCAAUACAACAUUGUGAAAUCAAAGAGUACACACAUUAAAUUAUGGAGACUUUAAGUAACUAAAAAAUCUAAUAUGCCUCUUUGGAAUAUUGGCAGGAUCUUCCUUUAUAACCUUCGCCUAUGAAAUAAUCAUCUAUUUUGUACCCCCCCAUUGCAUUGCAUUACACUGUCCACUAUACCAUAUUUAAAAAAAUAGAAUUUAAAAUAUUUGAUCGGAUACAUCAAAUAUGGAAGUCUCCACUUUGAAUUUGGUGCCUCUGGCAGCUUGAACUUGAAGGUGUGCCAUGUGUUACCUGCAAUGAUGUGUCCAUUUACAAACAUAGUUAGCCACAACUCUCAACCUCACCAUUGAAAGUUAAAAUGUUUAUUAAAGUUAAAAGUUAAAAUGUUUAAUCAAGAAACAUACAUACAUGCUUAUUAUAGUUGCAGCCACAUGAUUAUGUGGUUAAAAAUUAUGCAGGCUGGAUCUUGGAGUUAUAACAGAACUGAAAAGUGGUUCCAAGUGCUCUUUAAUUUGUAAAAACAUUUUCAAAGUUAAUUCAAGAAUAUUACUUUCAUCAAAGAGAAUGAAACAAUGGUAACACUUUCUCAGCCCUGUCAUAAACAAUCCAGUUUAGAAUACAAUCUAAAAGGCUCAUUGACAUUAUGUAAGUGCUCACAUCCAAAUCCAUCAAAUUUCAUUCAAGCACUUUCCACAUUUUCAUUUACUGUUGCCCAAUUUAUGAUCUUUUUUUUCAUAUCAGAAAACUGAUAAUUGAAUGCCCAAUAAUUUCAAGAAACUAAAAAUUAGGUAAAUAAUCUUUUUACUUGAUAAUAGAUUAGGGAAAUCUCCGAAUAAUGUAGAGAAGUUCAAAAAACCAUUCCAGGAUCAACAAAAAUGAACUUAGAAAAGAGGACUCGCCCAUUUAAGAACCACCAAAAUCAUUACCAAAUCCUCAUUUACAAAUUAAGACAUCGGCAACUGCAACAUACAGAGCAACAUAGCAUCAAUGAGAUUGGUAGCAGAAUCAAAUCAAACAAAUAAAGAACCAUAGAAAGCUUAAUAAUCACUAUAUAAGCACUUUGGCUUUUAUGUUCCAACACUAUUUACUUGAUUGCUUGCAAAGUGAAGUCUUUCUUUUAAGUGAGGCCUUAAAUAUUCAAAGUGAAAAAAUCAUUCAUAAAUUUAUAAGAAAGCGAAAGUUAUAGAAAUAUUCAUAAACUAAAAAAUAAUAUAAGAAUUAGUUUUUGCAUCAAUCAACAUUUCAUAUAAUAUAUAUGCAUAAAUUGUGAUCCAAUGAAUCACCAAUAAAAAUCACAAUGCAACUUCGUAAAAGUAAUCAACAGUUACAACAUAACUACAUGUCUUUUCUCAAUGCAUAUUUAUCUCAUGAAUGACCAUUAACUUAAACAGAAUAAAAAAUCACAACUUUGAUUUAUAGUUAAAUAGUUAAAUUCAUAUGAAUGAAAGAUCUAUAUAAUUGAUGUACGAUAAGAAACUAAUAGAAGUUGGAAUCAGCAUGUUUCUUUCAAUGUGGUCAUGUUAUAAGUAGGUAAUUACCUUGAUUAAAAACUAUACCAUAAACAGAUUAGUGGAAAGUACACACACUUCUUUGAUAUAACUUUUUUAAGCUUGUGUAUUAAAAUAAUGAACAAAGUGAAAGCAUUAGACACUUCCAUCUGCACAUGAAUUAGAAGCAUUUCAGAGGCAAAGGUUUCAAAAUAAAUAAGGAACCAUAAAUAUAUUAUAAGCAUAAGUCUAUAACCUUACUUUUGAGAAGCAUGCAAUUCCUCAAAAUUAGGACCUCGAGCAAAUUUCUACCAAUGCAGCUGCCAAGUUUCCUGAGAGAAGAAUUCAACUAACAAAUUUAGGACCAGUAUAAGAAAGAAACACACUACUAUAAGAACUCAGCAGACCACCUCUAAAAGAAGCUUCAUGUAAAUAACAAAUCAAAAUAAGAAAAACAUAUAGUAGUUAUCAAACUCUAAUUCUAAAACAAAAAAGUAAAGCCAAAGAAAUACAAAAUUAGGGAUUAGAAAUACAAAUGAAAUAAAAUAGAUGGCUAUUAAAAAUUAGGUAUUUUGAAAAAGAAAGAGUAUACCCAGAAUCAAACAAUAACAUUGUCGUCGUUGGGCCGUGUGCUCUGCUUCAUCGAUCUUUGUCGUCGUUGGGUUUGUGAACCUGAACAAACAAUAACAUUCCCAAAAAAAAAAUUAAAAAUCAGAAUAUGAAAUUAAAUCAUGAAAUAAGGAAGGGAUUGAGAAGCAAGUUAAAACCUUUCUUAUUGACAAAGCUGAAGAAGCAUAUACCCAAAAUUUGAGGAAAAAAGUUGACAACAUAGAAAACCAUAUCAAAAACACGACAAAGAUAAACGUUGUUUUUGAAAAAUUUUGGAGGGGUUUUUGAAAUUUGAAAGCAUGAUGCAUUAGUCAAAGUUUGCAGAGAACACUUAGUUUUUCACCAAAAUGGAAGUUUUUGUUGAAGAUGGAGAGAAAGAAGACAUCAACAAAGCAGAAAGGGAAGAGAAAGAUUCUUUCCUUUUUCUUUUUUUAAAUUUUUUUUCUUUCUUUUUUCUGUUAUAUUGAAUUUUAAAAUUUGCAAAAUACAUUCAAUCAAACUAACUUAUUACUUAUAAAAAAGUUUAUAGAUAUAGAUUGAAUCUGAAAUAAAAAUUUUGAAAUAAAAAAUCUUAUUAAAAGUAAUAGUAUAUCGGUUUGGUUUUCUCCUCAAUUAAAGUUUACAAAUACUAAAUAAAACAAAUUAAAAUUGAUAUAAAUCUAAAAAAAAAAAUCUGAAAUUUAACAAAAUCAAUCAUAUUAUUGCGGUGGAGAAAAAAAUCCCACUAAAAACUCCUAAAAAGUAGGGAUUAUUAGCUAAAAGAUAAAAACAAAUCCUAAUAAAUAUGACAACUAAACAACAAUAUUUUUUAAAAAAUAGAAAGAGGCAAAUAGAAAAAUAUGCUAAUCUAAAUUGAUAAGGAAAAACUUUUCACGN